CUAGUCAAAUUUAAAAAAUAAUAAUAACAAAUAAAAGAAAUAAAUAAACACAACCUCCAAGGAAUAAAGAACUUGGGAGAGGGAACAGAAUUAUGUCACAUGAAAAACUUAUCCGAUUAGCCCAACAGAUUGCUCUCUCACUUUCCAAGGUUUGUAGUAUCUUUCCUUGGGGCCGAAAGAUAAGAUGGUUGUACAAACCAUCCCCUGGGGGUGUCCUGGCCCACAGGGCACAGGCUGCAUCUUGUACACACUGAACAGCUAUGAACCCUGUUUCCCCUUUCCCCAGAUCACUGCUCUGCCAGGUAGGAACACUCCCUAAGGACCAGCGGCUCCACCCAUCCUCCUCCCACCUUCUAGCAGAUGAGGAUCACUGAGGGGGAGCAAAACAAGGCUGAUGCUCUGCUCUCCACAGGAAGUGCUCUGAGUUCCAGCUCCUCACCAGCCCUGCAUAGGGGACAAGCUACACAGCCCCAUCAGUCACAGGAGGGGGCCAGAGCCCCCUCCCAUUACCUUUCCUGUCCCACAAGCCUAACGUGAACUAUCUUUCUUCUGGUCUUCGGCUUCUAUUAGCAGAGGGAAAAGGAGUCUUUUUAAGAGACAAUACGAUGAGUCACUCAAUAAAAUAAAAGGAAGAAAAGAAACACUGUCACUUAUUUAGCUUCCAUACAUGGGCACUGGAAUUUAGGUGUGGUGGCAGAAAUCAAAUGUUGCAAUGCCUGGCUUGGAACUAUCUCCAGGAUGCAAAGCCGGCACUCCUCAGAACACCUUUUGCCUCUAUCGAUAAUUCUGGAAAGUGGCAUAAACAUACACAUGGUCUCCAUUCCCACGUCUGGCUGCCUAUCCCAACAUCUUGAGGUCUCCCAGGCUUCCUGCAUGGCAAGGGGCCUGGGGCCAUCACAGCCAUGCGUCUCCCAGGAUUUAGGCCCACCACUGGGAUGGUCUUGGGGUCAGGGAUUUCCCCUGAGCCAGGCUGCCCAUGGUACCCCAGCAUCAAGAAGCUCUCUCAGCAGCUGAACAAAGUGUCUUUUAUUUGUGACAUACAAAUACGACCAAUGCAAAAGAGAUCACUUUUUCCCUUUGAUUCCAGUGAUAACAAGUAGCUAAAGAAAAAAAUAUAUAUCAAGUUUAUCUUCCAAUUUUCCUCUAAAAGAACCAGAAAGGGUUAUUAAAAAGAACCAUACACAUGUCAUUGAUAUAUUUGACAUCAUAAAAAUAACCUGAAAUAGGGUGGAUAAAACAAUAACAACAACAAAAAACUUUAAAAAUAUUUUAACAUUCCCCAAACAAAAAAACCUGGUACAAAAGGCCUGCUAUGUUUCUCAAAACCAAGACCUGGGAGACGUGGAGGAAAAAAUAUUUGAGAAAUUACUGGGCUCACCACCCAGAGUGAUUUGCUGGUCACAGAAAGUGCCUCUCUGGCCCAGUCCCGACAUCCUGAGGAGUCCUUUGGGACUCAGCCUCCAGCUGGGGUGCGCAGGGCAGGCCCCAGGCACCCUGUCUACCAUUGGGCUUGGUGCCAGUAGUCUAUGACUGGGAAGAAACAAUAUAUGUGGAACUCAUCUUACAUGGGAUUUAUACUGGGGGUUCCUUUUGGUCCUCUUGAGUGGGAGGUACCAGAAAACCAUGAUCUAAGACAAUAAAUAGUUAUCAGUAUCCUUUGAGAGACAGGGGUCAGAGGGAAACAGUCUCUAAACAUGCUCUGUCAUUUCAUGAUUCCUGGAAGGUGUCUACAAAUCCCCUUCCAGCAUGGCCAACCUUCACCUGUGGUAAGAUUUCUAGGGAGCCAGCAGGUGGGGCAAAGGUAAACUUAUUCCAGUGUAAAGCUGCAAGGCCCCUCCAAAGAGUGCCCAGUCCCACUGCUGGUGGGAUCAAGAGCAGUGUAGGGUGCUCAGCAGAGAGGCAGGCUGGGCGAGGAAGGCCCCCGUAGAGGCAGGAAUCCAUGUUGAGAAGUUGGGUCAGCCCUGGGAAGACCUGCCAGGACAGACUGGCCUGAGUCAGGGCAGAGGGUGGGGCCUGAGCACCCUACAAGAGCAGCUUCCUAGAGACUAGAGUCUUUACCAUCCUCCUCAAAGCAGAGCUUAGAGAGGACCGAGGGAAGAGGUUAGGUGCUCUUUCCUGGAUAAGGAUUUGGUUGUUCUUCCCUGGAAGAGGAACGAGGCCUAGAUCAGGGUGAGCAUAAGUUCUGAGCCUGCAUGCUCCCUAUCCUAUGAGAGAAGAGGAAGGCAAUCUCCUCCCCCUACUCCAGCCUUCUGCCAUAGGAUGAUUCCAGAGAGAAAAGCAGCUGUUCUGGUCACUGAGAGGCAUUCCUGCUGCUGCUUCU